AUUCUGCCCAAGCGGAGAAGGAUGAGAAGCUUCGACUAAGGUUCGACUCGAGCGCCAGCGAGAGAGCGUUGCCGCAGGCA
rnacentral:sRNA from 1 species